GGGGAUGUAUCUCAAUGGUAGAGCACUUGCUUCACAUGUACAAGGCCCUGGGUUGGAUCCCCAGGAUCCCCA
rfam:Ictidomys tridecemlineatus contig007891, whole genome shotgun sequence.